UGAACGCUAGCGACAGGCUUAACACAUGCAAGUCGAGGGGCAGCACAGGUAGCAAUACCGGGUGGCGACCGGCGCACGGGUGAGUAACGCGUAUGCAACUUACCUAUCAGAGGGGGAUAACCCGGCGAAAGUCGGACUAAUACCGCACGAAGCAGGGGUCCCGCAUGGGGAUAUUUGCUAAAGAUUCAUCGCUGAUAGAUAGGCAUGCGUUCCAUUAGGCAGUUGGCGGGGUAACGGCCCACCAAACCGACGAUGGAUAGGGGUUCUGAGAGGAAGGUCCCCCCACAUUGGUACCGAGACACGGACCAAACUCCUACGGGAGGCAGCAGUGAGGAAUAUUGGUCAAUGGCCGAGAGGCUGAACCAGCCAAGUCGCGUGAGGGAUGAAGGUUCUAUGGAUCGUAAACCUCUUUUAUAAGGGAAUAAAGUGCGGGACGUGUCCCGUUUUGUAUGUACCUUAUGAAUAAGGAUCGGCUAACUCCGUGCCAGCAGCCGCGGUAAUACGGAGGAUCCGAGCGUUAUCCGGAUUUAUUGGGUUUAAAGGGUGCGUAGGCGGCCUUUUAAGUCAGCGGUGAAAGUCUGUGGCUCAACCAUAGAAUUGCCGUUGAAACUGGGGGGCUUGAGUAUGUUUGAGGCAGGCGGAAUGCGUGGUGUAGCGGUGAAAUGCAUAGAUAUCACGCAGAACCCCGAUUGCGAAGGCAGCCUGCCAAGCCAUUACUGACGCUGAUGCACGAAAGCGUGGGGAUCAAACAGGAUUAGAUACCCUGGUAGUCCACGCAGUAAACGAUGAUCACUAGCUGUUUGCGAUACACUGUAAGCGGCACAGCGAAAGCGUUAAGUGAUCCACCUGGGGAGUACGCCGGCAACGGUGAAACUCAAAGGAAUUGACGGGGGCCCGCACAAGCGGAGGAACAUGUGGUUUAAUUCGAUGAUACGCGAGGAACCUUACCCGGGUUUGAACGCAUUCGGACCGAGGUGGAAACACCUUUUCUAGCAAUAGCCGUUUGCGAGGUGCUGCAUGGUUGUCGUCAGCUCGUGCCGUGAGGUGUCGGCUUAAGUGCCAUAACGAGCGCAACCCUUGCCACUAGUUACUAACAGGUAAAGCUGAGGACUCUGGUGGGACUGCCAGCGUAAGCUGCGAGGAAGGCGGGGAUGACGUCAAAUCAGCACGGCCCUUACAUCCGGGGCGACACACGUGUUACAAUGGCGUGGACAAAGGGAAGCCACCUGGCGACAGGGAGCGAAUCCCCAAACCACGUCUCAGUUCGGAUCGGAGUCUGCAACCCGACUUCAUGAAGCUGGAUUCGCUAGUAAUCGCGCAUCAGCCACGGCGCGGUGAAUACGUUCCCGGGCCUUGUACACACCGCCCGUCAAGCCAUGGGAGCCGGGGGUACCUGAAGUGCGUAACCGCAAGGAGCGCCCUAGGGUAAAACUGGUGACUGGGGCUAA
rnacentral:rRNA from 1 species